rnacentral:rRNA from 1 species
CGCCUCCUGAAACAAUUUUCCUGGGAGGUCUCGCCUGCUCAAUGCCCUCCGGGGUCAAUAGCCGCGGUACCCUGACCGUGCUAAGGUAGCGUAAUCAUUAGCCUAUUAAUUGUUGGCCUGUAUGAAUGGCUGAACGCUGAUAGCUCUGUCUCUGUUGUGCUUAACUGAAAUUAACUUCCCGGUGAAAAGGCCGGGAUGCCCCUAAAAGACGAUUAGACCCUGUCGAACUUUAGGCCCUCCCUUAGCAUCUAAGGUACCUUCCAGCUAAGAACAAACCUUUGGUUGGGGAAACCGAGGACCACACAAAACGUCCACCCACCCACAACACUACGCGAAGAAAAGUUAACCAAAGACCACAACAAAAGCUUGACAAAGCUUUCCUUACUCCACCUCGAGCCAAGAAAACUAAACUUGACUAUGGGAAAAGUUACCGCAGGGAUAACAGCGUAAUCCUUUCGGAGAGACCACAUUAAGGAAAGGGUUUGCGACCUCGAUGUUGGCUUAAGACAUCCCAGAAGUGCAGAAGCUUCUAACGGUUGGUCUGUUCGACCACUAAUGUCUUACAU